rnacentral:rRNA from 1 species
GUCCACGCCGUAAACUAUGAGUGCUAGACGUUGGGGAGCUUAGCUUCUCGGUGUCGUAGCUAACGCGAUAAGCACUCCGCCUGGGGAGUACGGCCGCAAGGUUAAAACUCAAAGGAAUUGACGGGGGCCCCGCACAAGCGGUGGAGCAUGUGGUUCAAUUCGAAGCAACGCGAAGAACCUUACCAGCUCUUGACAUGGGACGUGUGGGUCCGGGAGACCGGAUCCUUCAGUUCGGCUGGCGUCCACACAGGUGCUGCAUGGCUGUCGU